rnacentral:tRNA from 1 species
AGGGAUGUGGCUCAGUGGUAAAGGGCUUGCCUAGCAUGUAUGAGGCCCUGGGUUCAAUCCCCAGCACCCCAA